AAUGCUUUCAUUCGGUUCACGCUUCGCUUUUAUUUUCUCGUCAAUUAGAGAUUUAUUAUUUAUUGUUAUUUGCGCGCAUAUCGGCUCGGCUCCAAAGUAGAAGAAUCCGUGCACGCCAACUCAAGUCGAAUGCAAUCCUCGCCGAUAAUUUCAUCCGGCGCAAAGCCACACGCACAGUGGUCUCCUCUGAAUCCCAUCAGUAGUAGGGUCAAAUCCCUCUACACUCGGCCGCCGAAUACCUUCGACGAUUCCUCUUCCAAAUCCGCCGGCCGAAUGGCUUCCCCCAAAUGGGCUCAGAAGACUAUUACUCUCCCGCUGCUGGGGCGCGGUUGUCAUCUCAUCACCCCCAAGAUUGUGAGGGAAAUUGGUGAAGAUUUGUCAGGAUUCAAAUGUGGCCUUGCACAUCUCUUCUUGCAACAUACAAGUGCUUCUCUGACUAUAAAUGAAAAUUAUGACUCUGAUGUCCGAGAAGAUACGGAGACAUUCCUUAACAGGAUUGUUCCAGAGGGGAUGUCUGCACCUUGGAAACAUACAUUGGAAGGUCCAGAUGACAUGCCAGCACACAUCAAAUCAUCCAUGUUUGGCUGUGCACUGACGAUUCCAAUUACGAAUGGAGAACUUAACAUGGGAACUUGGCAGUAUUAGCCAGAGGGGUUUUUGCUGCAGAAGUUGUUUUGUAAAUGGUGGUGAGACUUUUGGAUAGAAGAGGAGAAGAAGAAUGAUAUAGGGAGGGGCAUAUGGCUGUGUGAGCACCGAGACUAUCCAACUGCUCGGAAAAUAGUUGUUACUCUUAAUGGAAUUUGAGGUGAUAACAGUGAUAGAUGUUGACAUUUUAAAUCUUUUUGCUUCUAUUUUCUGAAACAAAUGUGUGUAUUGGCAGUUAGUGCUGAAGUUAUACACUUUAGUUUAAUAUAUAACAUUAGACUCCAAUUUAUCA